rnacentral:lncRNA from 1 species
CUUCUUCCUCUUGUGUGACCAAAGUGCCUCUCGGUCUUCUCUCUGUCUGUUUCUGGAAUAACCAAUAUGAAUAGGGCAUUAUUAUCCUAUCAUUAUAAAGGUUUGUGCUUUAUUAAAAUUAUUAUUUUUUCAAACGUACACUACUUGUCUCAAUGAGACAAGGCAUGAAGGAGUAUGCUUAUAAUUAGGAGUUUAUACGACACCGGCGCUGCUCCUCUG